rnacentral:rRNA from 1 species
AGUGAACGCUGGCGGCGUGCUUAACACAUGCAAGUCGAACGAGAAUGGAAUAUAGCUUGCUAUAUUUGUCAGCUAAGUGGCGCACGGGUGAGUAAUGUAUAGAUAACCUGCCCUUAAGAAAGGAAUAACAGUUGGAAACGACUGCUAAUGCCCUAUAUGCCUUUAAUACAUAAGUAUGCAAGGGAAACGCUAUAGUGCUUAAGGAUGGGUCUGUAUGGUAUCAGCUUGUCGGUGAGGUAAUGGCUCACCAAGGCUAUGACGCCUAACUGGUUUGAGAGGAUGAUCAGUCACACUGGAACUGAGACACGGUCCAGACUCCUACGGGAGGCAGCAGUGGGGAAUAUUGCACAAUGGACGAAAGUCUGAUGCAGCGACGCCGCGUGGAGGAUGACACAUUUCGGUGCGUAAACUCCUUUUAUAUAGGAAGAUAAUGACGGUACUAUAUGAAUAAGCACCGGCUAACUCCGUGCCAGCCGCCGCGGUAA